CCCAGACUCCUACGGGAGGCAGCAGUGGGGAAUAUUGGGCAAUGGGCGCAAGCCUGACCCAGCAACGCCGCGUGAAGGAAGAAGGCUUUCGGGUUGUAAACUUCUUUUCUCAGGGACGAAUAGAUGACGGUACCUGAGGAAUAAGCCACGGCUAACUACGUGCCAGCAGCCGCGGUAAUACGUAGGUGGCAAGCGUUAUCCGGAUUUACUGGGUGUAAAGGGCGUGUAGGCGGGGACGCAAGUCAGAUGUGAAAACCACGGGCUCAACCUGUGGCCUGCAUUUGAAACUGUGUUUCUUGAGUACUGGAGAGGCAGACGGAAUUCCUAGUGUAGCGGUGAAAUGCGUAGAUAUUAGGAGGAACACCAGUGGCGAAGGCGGCCUGCUGGGCUUUUACUGACGCUGAGGCUCGAAAGUGUGGGGAGCAAACAGGAUUAGAUACCCCAGUAC
rnacentral:rRNA from 1 species